UGGGGAAUCAUGGUCAAUGGGCGAAAGCCUGAACCUGCGACGCCGCGUGAGUGAUGAAGGUCGUAAGAUCGUAAAACUCUUUUCAGGGAUCUUAAAGCACAACCGUCAACAACGGCUGUGUGUGACUCUCCCUGGAAGAAGCCCCAGCCAACUACGUGCCAGCAGCUGUGGUAAUACGUAGGGGGCGAGCGUUAUUCGGAAUUACUGGGUGUAAGGGGUAUGUAGGCGGCCCUUCAAGUCGCGUGUCAAAGUCCAGGGCGCAAGGCUGUGUGU
rnacentral:rRNA from 1 species